rnacentral:lncRNA from 1 species
UUACUCAUGUGUUAGAGAAAAGACUUGGACAGAGACCUUCCUGGACCCAAGCCAGUAUGCCACACUGCUUCUGAAAUGUGAGGAAGGGGAAGGAAGAAACUAAACAUUAAGAGCCUGCUGACUGACCCUUACAGCAACCCUGUGAUGGGAGUGGAGAGAGCAGAACUUGCAUGCAUUGAACUGGUAGUCC